UGUGAAUAUCAGAUAUUGGUGUAAGGUAAUCAUGAAAUAUGUAUGGACAUAUUUCAUGAUUACCUUACACCAAUAUCUGAUAUUCAC